UGGGGAAUCUUGCACAAUGGAGGAAACUCUGAUGCAGCGACGCCGCGUGAGCGAAGAAGCCCUUCGGGGUGUAAAGCUCUUACGCCAGGGACGAUAAUGACGGUACCUGGAGAAGCAGCUGCGGCUAACUACGUGCCAGCAGCCGCGGUAAUACGUAGGCAGCAAGCGUUGUUCGGAAUUACUGGGCGUAAAGGGUGCGUAGGCGGCGCUCUAAGUUUGGUGUGAAAUCUCCCGGCUUAACUGGGAGGGUGCACUGAAAACUGGGGCGCUCGAGUAUGGGAGAGGAAAGCGGAAUUCCUGGUGUAGCGGUGAAAUGCGUAGAGAUCAGGAGGAACACCUGCGGUGCAGACGGCUUUCUGGACCAUCACUGACGCUGAGGCACGAAAGCGUGGGUAGCAAACA
rnacentral:rRNA from 1 species